UUGAACGCUGGCGGCAGGCCUAACACAUGCAAGUCGAGCGGCAGCGCGGGGCAACCUGGCGGCGAGCGGCGGACGGGUGAGUAACGCGUAGGAAUCUACCCAGUAGCGGGGGAUAGCCCGGGGAAACUCGGAUUAAUACCGCAUACGCCCUAAGGGGGAAAGCAGGGGAUCGUAAGACCUUGCACUAUUGGAAGAGCCUGCGUUGGAUUAGCUAGUUGGUAGGGUAAAGGCCUACCAAGGCGACGAUCCAUAACUGGUCUGAGAGGAUGAUCAGUCACACCGGAACUGAGACACGGUCCGGACUCCUACGGGAGGCAGCAGUGGGGAAUAUUGGACAAUGGGGGCAACCCUGAUCCAGCCAUGCCGCGUGUGUGAAGAAGGCCUUCGGGUUGUAAAGCACUUUAAGUGGGGAGAAAGGUUCGGCAGCUAAUACCUGCCGGAAGUGAUGUUACCCACAGAAUAAGCACCGGCUAACUCUGUGCCAGCAGCCGCGGUAACAC
rnacentral:rRNA from 1 species